rnacentral:rRNA from 1 species
GAUUAAGCCAUGCAUGUGUAAGUAUAAAUAGUUAACUUUGAAACUGCGAAUGGCUCAUUAUAUCAGUUAUAGUUUAUUUGAUGAAGAAUACUAAUUGGAUAACCGUAGUAAUUCUAGAGCUAAUACAUGUAUAAAGUCUUGUAGACUGCAUUUAUUAGAAUGAAAACCAUAGGUUUCGGCCUAUUCGUGAGUAAUAAUAACUAAUCAUAUCGUAUGCUUAUGUAACCGAUGUGUCUUUCAAGUUUCUGCCCUAUCAGCUUUCGAUGGUAGUGUAUUGGACUACCAUG